rnacentral:rRNA from 1 species
GACGAACGCUGGCGGCGUGCUUAACACAUGCAAGUCGAACGGAAAGGCCCUGCUUGCAGGGUGCUCGAGUGGCGAACGGGUGAGUAACACGUGGGUGAUCUGCCCCUUACUUUGGGAUAAGCCUGGGAAACUGGGUCUAUUCUUGAAUAGGCCCUUGCUUUAGGGGGUUGGUUGGAAGGAUUGGUUUCGGUAAGGGAUGAGCUCGCGGCCUAUCAGCUUGUUGGUGGGGUAAUGGCCUACCAAGGCGUCGACGGGUAGCCGGCCUGAGAGGGUGGACGGCCACAUUGGGACUGAGAUACGGCCCAGACUCCUACGGGAGGCAGCAGUGGGGAAUAUUGCACAAUGGGCGCAAGCCUGAUGCAGCGACGCCGCGUGGGGGAUGACGGCCUUCGGGUUGUAAACUCCUUUCAGCCAUGACGAAGCCCUUGUGGUGACGGUAGUGGUAGAAGAAGCACCGGCUAACUACGUG